AACGAACGCUGGCGGCAGGCUUAACACAUGCAAGUCGAACGCCCCGCAAGGGGAGUGGCAGACGGGUGAGUAACGCGUGGGAAUCUACCCAGAUCUUCGGAACAACACAGGGAAACUUGUGCUAAUACCGGAUACGCCCUACGGGGGAAAGAUUUAUCGGUUCUGGAUGAGCCCGCGUUGGAUUAGCUAGUUGGUGAGGUAAUGGCUCACCAAGGCGACGAUCCAUAGCUGGGCUGAGAGGAUGAUCAGCCACACUGGGACGGAGACACGGCCCAGAGUCCUACGGGGGGCAGCAGUGGGGAAUAUUGGACAAUGGGCGAGAGCCUGAUCCAGCCAUGCCGCGUGAGUGAUGAAGGCCUUAGGGUUGGAAAGCUCUUUUCACCGGGAAGAGGAAGGACGGUACCGGUGGAAUAAGCCUCGGCUAACUACGUGCCAGCCGCCGCUGUAAAAC
rnacentral:rRNA from 1 species